rnacentral:rRNA from 1 species
UACGGAGGGUGCAAGCGUUAUCCGGAUUUACUGGGUUUAAAGGGUGCGCAGGCGGAUAUGUAAGUCAGUGGUGAAAUCUCUGGGCUUAACCCGGAAAUUGCCAUUGAUACUAUAUAUCUUGAAUGCUGUGGAGGUAAGCGGAAUAUGUCAUGUAGCGGUGAAAUGCUUAGAGAUGACAUAGAACACCUAUUGCGAAGGCAGCUUACUACGCAGAGAUUGACGCUCAUGCACGAAAGCGUGGGGAUCAAACAGG